rnacentral:misc_RNA from 1 species
UACACCAUUGACUAAUUUAUUUAUGUGCCCAUGCUAUUAACUAGAUCUUUUCGAAUGCAAACAGGGAACAUGUUGAUGUUCUUUAACAAUUUCAACCGCCAUAGUACAUAUGGGAAAACUGAUCCCUAGAAGUGAAGCGAACAACUUCAUUAAACCAGAGGCACAUAAAUAAAUUAGUCAAUGGUGUAUGCUCCCUCACGAUGACAGAAGCUUCAUUCAAAGCCUUCUUUCCAUUAAAUCUCUUGUCCUCAGGCAAGCCAUCCUGCCGGUAUUGAGUCAACUGCACCUCAACUUCUUCUGGGGAGGCUUUGUGUUUCUUCACAACAGCUGUAGCCUCCUCAUACACAUUGCUGCGAGCUCCAUGUUGUGAAAUUGCUAAUACAGAAUUUGACCGCCAAAGAAGGGCUUCUAGAACACCAAGAGGGUCCCUCCUAAAUUGGGAUUUUGAGUCUACCCAAAUAGAGAACAUGGCAUGAGGAAAGAGACGAUGCCCCAACAUCUGAUUGCAGCAGGAGUGAAUAUAAAUCCUUAAAACAAUUCAAACAGCAGAAUACUCCAAAAAUUGAAAUUUACAGGCAUGCACUGACACAGCGACAAAGAAAAGCAGAUUACAUGAUACCAUCUUAUAGAAUGAAUAACCAAAGAACCAUGCAUGACAGUAAUGAACAUAAGAAUCAGUAUCACCUUUCUGUUAUGUAACCAGA